GGCCCCAUCGUCUAUCGGUUAGGACACCAGGUUCUCAUCCUGGGAAGAGCAGUUCGACUCUGCUUGGGGUCA
rnacentral:tRNA from 1 species